AGUCUCCUACGGGGCGCAGCAGUGGGGAAUAUUGCACAAUGGGGGAAACCCUGAUGCAGCGACGCCGCGUGAGCGAUGAAGUAUUUCGGUAUGUAAAGCUCUCUCAGCAGGGAAGAAAAUGACGGUACCUGACUAAGAAGCCCCGGCUAACUACGUGCCAGCAGCCGCGGCAAUACGUAGGGGGCAAGCGUUAUCCGGAAUUACUGGGCGUAAAGCGCUCGUAGGCGGUAUGUCAAGUCAAGGGGGAAAU
rnacentral:rRNA from 1 species